UGGAUCUCCUUACUGCAGCAGGCACCUGCUGGGACAUCCAAUUUUGCAAGAAAGGAUUCCAGUGCAAAGGUUCUGCAGAUACUGAUUGGCUCAGCAUGCGUUCCACCAGACCAGCGAGAUGAGAUGCAGCCUCUUGUCACUUCAGAUGGUGUAAAGUGAGGCAUCAGAAAGGGAAUAAUCAGAGUGCAACUUCCUAGACCUGGUAUGGUGAAAGGUCUUCUACAACCAAGGGCUUUCCUGCAUCUCCUGGAGGCUGCAGAAGUGACAACCCACCUGAAACCUAGGUUCUUACUGAGACGGCAACCUCUGUACCAUACAGACAGGCAGAAUAAACAACAAAAGGAUUGUGGGGGAGAAAGCUUAAGAAGUCCUAGGAUUUCCCAUAAGCAAAAGCACAGAACAUGUAUUUUUUUUUUUUCCAGAUUCUCUGGAGAACCAAAUUCAAUUUGAUUGUGUCUAUACAUCUUAG
rnacentral:lncRNA from 1 species